UGGCGAACGGGUGAGUAACACGUGGGUGAUCUGCCCUGCACUUCGGGAUAAGCUUGGGAAUCUGGGUCUAAUACCGGAUAGGAGCCAUCUUUAGUGUGGUGGUUGGAAAGUUUUUUCGGUGUAGGAUGAGCUCGCGGCCUAUCAGCUUGUUGGUGGGGUAAUGGCCUACCAAGGCGGCGACGGGUAGCCGGCCUGAGAGGGUGUACGGCCACAUUGGGACUGAGAUACGGCCCAG
rnacentral:rRNA from 1 species